UACGAAGGUGGCAAGCGUUGUUCGGAUUUACUGGGCGUAAAGGGAGCGUAGGUGGUGCGGUAAGCCCUCCGGGAAAGCUUCAGGCUUAACCUGAAAAGGUCGGGGGGGACUGCCGCGCUAGAGGACGGGAGAGGAGCGCGGAAUUCCCGGUGUAGCGGUGAAAUGCGUAGAGAUCGGGAGGAAGGCCGGUGGCGAAGGCGGCGCACUGGACCAUAACUGACGCUGAUGCGCGAAAGCUAGGGGAGCAAACAGG
rnacentral:rRNA from 1 species